GAUGAACGCUGGCGGCGUGCCUAAUACAUGCAAGUCGAGCGAACAGACGAGGAGCUUGCUCCUCUGACGUUAGCGGCGGACGGGUGAGUAACACGUGGAUAACCUACCUAUAAGACUGGGAUAACUGCGGGAAACCGGAGCUAAUACCGGAUAAUAUAUUGAACCGCAUGGUUCAAUAGUGAAAGACGGUUUUGCUGUCACUUAUAGAUGGAUCCGCGCCGCAUUAGCUAGUUGGUAAGGUAACGGCUUACCAAGGCAACGAUGCGUAGCCGACCUGAGAGGGUGGUCGGCCACACGGGAACUGAGACACGGUCCAGACGCCUACGGGAGGCAGCAGAAGGGAAUCGUACGCAAUGGGCGGAAGCCUUACGGAGCAACGCCGCGUGAGUGAUGAAGGUCUUCGGAGCGUAAAACUCUGUUAUGAGGGAAGAACAAAUGUGUAAGUAACUAUGCACGUCGUGACGGUACCUAAUCAGAAAGCCACGGCUAACUACGUG
rnacentral:rRNA from 1 species